UUCCGCUUCAGAAUCCAAGGGACCAGGAUCUUGCUGGGGUGGGAGGUUGUACCUGUGUUGCCAUAGUAACAGGGAACCUCUCUGGUGUUGUCAUAGCAGCAGCCAGCCUGCUGACAGGCUUCCUUUGAAGUUCUUCUCACCAUGCAGGGGAGGUGCCCUGAGGCCACCUGGCACUGCUCCUGGCUCAGGCUCUGCAGGUCCUCCUUCCUGCCUUGAGGCCUCAGGACCACUGGGAGCUGCCGGCCUGGUUAGUGCAGUCACAGCUCCUCAGGCAGGGCUUUAGGGGAGUUAGAGCAAGACCAGGAAGACACAGCCCUCAGAGCUGGCAGCGGAAUGGGGACUGCAGGUGAAUAAACAGACCAGUAACACCUCCAAGGGCUCUCCUGAGGAUUCAGCCGGUCAAUAUGAUGAUGACUAUGACUAAUAAAAAAUAACAAGGACAACUAAAUGUAAUGUGGCAUCUGGAUGGGAUCAUGGAACAGAAAAAGGCAGUAAAAGUGAAGAAAGUGGAUUUUAGUUAAUAAUAAUGUGUCCACAUUUGUUUGUUCAUUAAUUGUAAUAAAUGUAUCAUACUCAAGUAAGAUCAGUUAUGGGGUAAACUGGGCCUGCGGUGUAUGGGAACUAUCUGUACUAUCUUCUCAGUUCUGCAAAUCUAGAACAGUUCUAAGACAUAAAAGUGGCUGGAAACAACAAGAACGGCCUGUGGUCUGCCAUGAUUACAGUGCCAGGCCUUGCUUGUGUUAGCUCCUUAUACCGCCUGACCAUCCUCUGGGGAAGGGACUGUCACCAGCCCCACGUCCUGGCACUAAUUCCUGCAAGUGAUUAGCCUAGGGCCCAGUAGCAUUUGAGCUCAGCAAACAUUAGGAAACUGAGCUCAGCAAACAUUAGAAAAUGCAGCUAUUAUAAUUAGCAGCUGCUGGAAGGGGAGAGCAAGAGGCUUGAUAGCUAAGAGCCUGGUUCUGGUGAGGUUGCAGAGAAAAAGGAAUGCUUAUACGCUCUUGGUGGGAGUGUAAAUUGGUUCGACCACUGUGGGAGUGUGGUGAUUCCUCAAAGAGCUGAAAACAGAACUAUCAUUUGAUGCAGAAAUCACAUUACUGGGUUUAUAUCCAAAGGAAUAUAAAUUGUUCUAUCAUAAAGACACUGAACCUGCGUGCAUACGUUCAGUGCAGCACGAUUCACAAUAGCCAAGACAUGGAAUCAAAUGCCCAUCAAUGGUAGACUCAAUAAAGAAAAUGUGGUACAUGCUGAGCAUGGUGGCUCACUCCUGUAAUCCCAGCACUUUGGGAGGCCGAGGCGGGUGGAUCACGAGGUCAGGAGAUCGAGACCAUCCUGGCUAACACGGUGAAACCCUGUCUCUACUAAAAAUACAAAAAUUAGCUGGGUGUGGUGGCACGCACCUGUAGUCCCAGCUACUCAGGAGGCUGAGGCAGGAGAAUCGCUUGAACCCAGGAGACGGAGGUUGCAGUGAGCCGAGAUUGCACUGUUGCACUCCAGCCUGGGUGACAGAGCGAGACUCUGUCUCAAAAAAAAGAAAAAGAGAAAAAAAAAAAAAAGAAAAUGUGG